rnacentral:rRNA from 1 species
CCUACGGGGGGCAGCAGUGGGGAAUAUUGCACAAUGGGGGAAACCCUGAUGCAGCGACGCCGCGUGAGUGAAGAAGUAUUUCGGUACGUAACGCUCUAUCAGCAGGGAAGAAAAUGACGGUACCUGACUAAGAAGCCCCGGCUAACUACGUGCCAGCAGCCGCGGUAAUACGUAGGGGGCAAGCGUUAUCCGGAUUUACUGGGUGUAAAGGGAGCGUAGACGGCAGCGCAAGUCUGGAGUGAAAUCCCAUGGCUUAACCAUGGAACUGCUUUGGAAACUGUGCAGAUAGAGUGCAGGAGAGGUAAGCGGAAUUCCUAGUGUAGCGGUGAAAUGCGUAGAUAUUAGGAGGAACACCAGUGGCGAAGGCGGCUUACUGGACUGUAACUGACGUUGAGGCUCGAAAGCGUGGGGAGCAAACAGGAUUAGAUACCCCAGUAGUC